CUACGGGUGGCACCAGUGAGGAAUAUUGGUCAAUGGGCGCAAGCCUGAACCAGCCAUGCCGCGUGAAGGAUGACAGCGCUAUGCGUUGUAAACUUCUUUUGUACAGGAAGAAACACUUCUACGUGUAGAAGCUUGACGGUACUGUGCGAAUAAGCAUCGGCUAACUCCGUGCCAGCAGCCGCGGUAAUACGGAGGAUGCAAGCGUUAUCCGGAUUUAUUGGGUUUAAAGGGUACGUAGGCGGAAAAUUAAGUCAGUAGUGAAAUCCCGCAGCUUAACUGUGGAACUGUUAUUGAUACUGGUUUUCUUGAAUUUAGUUGAGGUAGGCGGAAUGUGUAAUGUAGCGGUGAAAUGCUUAGAUAUUACACAGAACACCGAUUGCGAAGGCAGCUUACUAAGCUAUGAUUGACGCUGAGGUACGAAAGCGUGGGGAGCGAACAGGAUUAGAUACCCGCGUAGUC
rnacentral:rRNA from 1 species